CCUACGGGUGGCAGCAGUCGAGAAUCAUUCACAAUGGGGGAAACCCUGAUGGUGCGACGCCGCGUGGGGGAAUGAAGGUCUUCGGAUUGUAAACCCCUGUCAUGUGGGAGCAAAUUAAAAAGAUAGUACCACAAGAGGAAGAGACGGCUAACUCGGUGCCAGCAGCCGCGGUAAUACAGAGGUCUCAAGCGUUGUUCGGAAUCACGGGGCGUAAGGCGUGCGUAGGCUGUUUCGUAAGUCGUGUGUGAAAGGCGCGGGCUCAACCCGCGGACGGCACAUGAUACUGCGAGACUAGAGUAAUGGAGGGGGAACCGGAAUUCUCGGUGUAGCAGUGAAAUGCGUAGAUAUCGAGAGGAACACUCGUGGCGAAGGCGGGUUCCUGGACAUUAACUGACGCUGAGGCACGAAGGCCAGGGGAGCGAAAGGGAUUAGAUACCCCAGUAGUC
rnacentral:rRNA from 1 species